rnacentral:tmRNA from 1 species
GGGGGCGUCACGGUCUCGACGUGAUUAGUGAAUAUGGAACUGCGUGCCGAGGUCCCCGGGUCCUCGAUAAUCCUCUGGGAACUUUGUAAUUGCCAAUACUGAAAUGGCGAUGGCUGCGUAACUUAGAUUACGUGCUCGUUUCUUGAUUUCCCAGCUCGAAGGAAAUCUCUGAAGCGUCGAUAAAUCGAGCUGGUUUCUGGCUAGUGCUAUCAUAGCUGGAGAUGAGAUUCUUAGAUAGCUAGUCUAGGCUUGGUUGCUCGCUCACCUACCUAGAUGAAAUUAUGAGUGACGCUACGCACGUAGAGGUUUUAUAGGAGUUAUUUACGGACGCGGGUUCGACUCCCGCCGCCUCCAUUU